AACGCACGAGACCUGCGGACCUGCGGAAGGAUCAUCAAAAAAAAGAGAAGGGGGUGAAAGUUUCUUCAUCCUCUCUUUUUUAUUAAUUUUUUCUUUCUUUCCCCCUUUUUAUUAUAUGAAAAAGGGGGUGAAGAAAAGAAACUUGUCGACUUCUUGUUGUCCCCUUUUUAGAAGAGUUUCUUUUAAAAAAGGGGUAGACCCUUUUCCCUCUCCAACAUCACACUUGGGAGGGAAGGUUUU
rnacentral:misc_RNA from 1 species